rnacentral:rRNA from 1 species
UACGGAGGGAGCUAGCGUUGUUCGGAAUUACUGGGCGUAAGGCGUGCGUAGGCGGUAGUCCAAGUCUGGUGUGAAAUCUCCCGGCUUAACUGGGAGGGUGCGCCGGAAACUGGGCUGCUGGAGUGCGGGAGAGGUAAGCGGAAUUCCCGGUGUAGCGGUGAAAUGCGUAGAUAUCGGGAGGAACCCCUGGGGUGGAGACGGCUUAGUGGACCGCCACUGACGCUGAGGCACGAAAGCGUGGGGAGCAAACAGG